rnacentral:misc_RNA from 1 species
CGGAUCGCGGCGAUGUGGGCGGUUCGCUGCCUGCGACGUCGCGAGAAGUCCAUUGAACCUUAUCAUUUAGAGGAAGGAGAAGUCGUAACAAGGUUUCCGUAGGUGAACCUGCGGAAGGAUCAUUGUCGUAACCUGCGAAAGCAAGGCAACUCGCGAACACGUACUUUACACUCGGGAAUCGAAGGGUGUCUCCCCCGGGAAAGCCCUUCCUUCCCGACAACGUCGGGUCGGCUCGGCGCUCGUUGCUUUCCGACGACGUAACACUCGUUUGGGCUAUCGACCGUCGGGCUUGUCCCUACGCAACAAAAAAACCGGCGCGAAAUGUGCCAAGGAACAUGAAAGAGAGUGCGCUCUUCUGGCGUCAGCACCGCUGCGCUGGGAUGGGCGUUGUCUUCUUGAUGAGUUUAUAAUGACUCUCGGCAACGGAUAUCUCGGCUCUUACAUCGAUGAAGAACGUAGCAAAAUGCGAUACUUGGUGUGAAUUGCAGAAUCCCGUGAACCAUCGAGUCUUUGAACGCAAGUUGCGCCCGAAUCCUUUUGGUCGAGGGCACGUCUGCCUGGGUGUCACGUACACGCGCCUCCCGCAAACCUUCCCCUUUUGUGGUCGAAGGGACUUGCGGGAGCAGAUAAUGGUAUCCCGUGCUCUUUCCGCGCGGCUUGCCUAAAAACAGAGAACCGGCGAUGAAACGUCACGCCUAGUGGUGGUUAACGACGCCUAACGGCCGACCAGUUCGCGACGUGACUAGUUAUCCCCGGAAAAUCUCAUACGACACCUCGGACGUCCUCUAAUGGGCGUGCUAUUGUCGCGACCCCAGGUCAGGCGGGACUACCCGCUGAAUUUAAGCAUAUCAAUAAGCGGAGGAAGAGAAACUUACAAGGAUUCCCCUAGUAA